GACGAACGCUGGCGGCGUGCUUAACACAUGCCGGUCGAACGGAAAGGCCCUGCUUUUGUGGGGUGCUCGAGUGGCGAACGGGUGAGUAACACGUGAGUAACCUGCCCUUGACUUUGGGAUAACUUCAGGAAACUGGGGCUAAUACCGGAUAGGAGCUCCUGCUGCAUGGUGGGGGUUGGAAAGUUUCGGCGGUUGGGGAUGGACUCGCGGCUUAUCAGCUUGUUGGUGGGGUAGUGGCUUACCAAGGCUUUGACGGGUAGCCGGCCUGAGAGGGUGACCGGCCACAUUGGGACUGAGAUACGGCCCAAACUCCUACGGGAGGCAGCAGUGGGGAAUAUUGCACAAUGGGCGGAAGCCUGAUGCAGCAACGCCGCGUGCGGGAUGACGGCCUUCGGGUUGUAAACCGCUUUCGCCUGUGACGAAGCGUGAGUGACGGUAAUGGGUAAAGAAGCACCGGCUAACUACGUG
rnacentral:rRNA from 1 species